ensembl:lncRNA
UUUAUUUACUAAUGUUCAUGUAUUUUUAAUUUAUCCUGUUCAAACUUCUAGUAUUAUAUUACUUCAAUGGUUAUUCAUGUACCAUUCACUCAUCUCUCCUUUAGUGUGGGACUGGGUGCGUCCUCCCUACCAGGUCACAGUCAAGUGACGGUCUGGGAGAAGUAGUGUGGGACUGGGUGCGUCCUCCCUACCAGGUCACAGUCAAGUGACGGUCCGGGAGAAGUAGUGUGGGACUGGGUGCGUCCUCCCUGCCAGGUCACAGUCAAGUGACGGUCCGGGAGAAGUAGUGUGGGACUGGGUGCGUCCUCCCUGCCAGGUCACAGUCAAGUGACGGUCCGGGAGAAGUAGUGUGGGACUGGGUGCGUCCUCCCUGCCAGGUCACAGUCAAGUGACGGUCCGGGAGAAGUAGUGUGGGACUGGGUGCGUCCUCCCUGCCAGGUCACAGUCAAGUGACGGUCCGGGAGAAGUAGUGUGGGACUGGG